AUCUACCACCACAAAAAAAUUUGGAAUUUUUUGAAUUUUUCUAGUAUUUUUUUUGAAUUUUUUGCUGAGACGGAGCAGAUGAGCCCGGGCACCGUUUUGAGUUUUCCCUAAACUUUCUUCUAUCUCUUUUCGUGUGUCUCUUUACUGUCCAACUAGCAUGAAUGUGGUACUAUAGGAAGUACAAAGAGAUUCAUCUUUGUGAGGUGAAAAAAUUCAGUGAUAUUACUGACGGCACAUACACGAAUCAGCAGAUAGUAAAGAUGGAGGCUGAAUUUAUACAGUAGGUCUAUUCCAGCACCUGCUUUUGAUCAUACGAAACUAAAAGGAUAGAAGAAUACAAUUGCAGGAAUCACACGUGAUGAGACAGCCGUCUCUCAUUUCUGGUGAGAGGCGUCAUCGGCAGCAAGUCAGGGGAUCAUACACCCAGCGUCCGAUGUCGAGUGUGUGGCACAUCCUUUGCCUUCUCCCCCUCCUCUAUCUGCAUCCUCUCCCUUCUCUUCUAUCCUUAUCUGGUUGCCCUCUUCCCUUCCCUUCUCUCUCCUCCUACUUAUGAAGUCUUAGCACAAGUUGAUCCCUCCCUUCUUGUCUUUUUUCCCUUUGACAAUUACUAGAUUUUUAUAGUGCCUUUGUGCGUUGUUCUGCAAAAUGA